ACCAUUUUUGCACUAAUUUCUGCGCCCCAAAUCAUAUGGGACAAUGUGAAGAAGGGCAGAUGACACCCGCAUGUGCACUAAGGUGUAUUACAAAUGAAGAACCCUGAGCUUAGGGAGCCCAAAUCUUUUAUAAUGGGCAGUAAGUCUGGCUGCCUUAGCGCCAGUGGGAGACAUUGUUUUUAUGAUACUGGACAGUAAUCAAACCUGCCCUUUCCUCUGGAGGGAACGCAAUUUUUCUCUUCCAAGGCUGUUUGCUAAAUUAAUAUCCUUGAAAAGAUAUUCCAGAACAAAAGGAAUCUGUGUCUCUGUUGGUAAGAGACACAGAUAUGCAGGAGACUUAUGGAGAAUUGUCUCCUAACACCACCAGAAAUAUUUAGUCAGCAUUUGGUUUGAAAGGGGCACAUGGCACAGUGCUCAGGAAAAUCAUCUGGUCUUCAAUCCUGUAAUGGCCAAACAGAACAUAAAGACAUGUCAAACGUAUGGACUUUUCCACAUCACCUUUCCUGGAAAGCACUUGUUUCCUAUUCAGGGGUCACGGACACAUUUGGCAGCAGAGAGCGGAGAGCGAUGCCACUGGACUUGUGUCUGCAUCACUUGCUGCCUGGGAACUGUUCUGCCAACCUGCCUUCUGGGCUCCCGCAGAAGGAGUAUAAUGAAGAAACCAUCCACUCUGGAGUUGGAGAUUUCUGGCAUCCCAUUCAUGUUUAGCAGACGUUGACUUUGAUCGAGGCAUUGUACUCAUGUAAAGCAUGCUGUGUGACGCCUGUGAUUAUGAUGGCUCUUAAAAUCCUUUGAUUUUUGAGAGGGGUAGACUUACUCUCUAACUUAAAAAUUUUGAUUAAACCUAUGUAAUUCAGCGUUGGAACUGGCAUGCAGAGAGGGUGCUAAAUCUAACAUUUUUGAGUAAUUAUGAAAAUAUGGCUGUUGAAUCUAAGAGUCAAGACGGUAACUGAUUCCCAGCUGUAAUCUAGUAUAAUGCCAGGGAAAUCAGAUGGGAUCCUGGCUGGUUUCCACUUCCUGAGGCUUUUUAUUCUGAGUUUAUUUUUAAGACUAAUUAUCCUCACCUACAUAAACUUCCUGGAUUCCAGAAUACGUAAUUGGCUGGUCAAGUGUCUCUGCUAUCCAGAUGAGAGUUACCUAUCACGCAUCCUCAAAGGGACCCAAAAUUUGGACCAGAUGCCACCCAUUCAGAUGUGACAAGAGGAACAGAAGCGUUAAAUUGUGGCAGUAUUGGCCAACAUGUGUAGCUCAUUGUUGCAAACAAGUGCUCAGCCAAUGGAGUGGCAUAUUGUCAUUGUGACCCAUAACUGUUGGAAGAGUUCCAGAAAUGACAUAAGGAAUUAUGCAUUAAUACAGAGCAGGUGGCAGAAGAAGAUCAUAGCUGGGUGCUGGCAACAUGAAGAUCUUUGAGGACGUGACAAGAGCAGCCUCCGCAGUGUGAUAGGAAAUGAAACCUGAGCGCAGCGAGGGGGGCAGAGAUGUUGAAAUGAGAAAGUCAUGACAACCUCCACAGAUACCUCUUUCCAGAGGCUUUGCUGUGAAGACUGAAACAACUGGGAACUUAUGUGGGAUGAAGAGCUGCCUCCAGUGGUCUCGGCAGUGUCUCAAGUCUCCUGUCGGGUAGAUUCUUGCAGAAUGAGGCUGGAAGUGCCACUCAGAGGAUCUGAUUCUAACCUCUGCAUAAGCAAAAACCCAGGCCUUGUGUUCCUCAAUUGGAGCCUGGGCUCUCAUAUGCCACUUAUUUUUUCUUAAGUGGAGCAAAGAUUGUGUCAAUAAAAGCAAAGAACACUUGUUUCAUAUAUAUUUAAAGCUGACGAGUACUUUGUAUAUCACAUUAAGUAGGAAAUUGCUCCAG
ensembl:lncRNA